GAGAUCCAACUAGAAAUAUAUCAACAUACAGUCAAAUGAAGCCGUCUCCUAGGAGUAACAGAUGAAGUCCAACAGAAUAGUGAGGAUUUUGAGGCAAGUAUUUUAUGACUAUAGUUCUAAAUGAAAUAGCAAAGUUUUCUAAAAAAAAUAUUUUAAGGUAAUAUAUUCAUUUGUUUUGGACUACUGGUAAUUAAGAUGUGACUUAGGAUGACAGCCAAGAUUAUGAUUUAAGGUGUUGACAUUGUUCUAUAUAUUAUUUUUUUGUCAUAUCUGUACUGUCUUUUGACUAGUAGUUACCACAGUAUUAUUUAAUUAUAGCUUUACAUUUUAAAGUUAACAAGUUGUUUUUUUUCUAUUUCAUAUGCUCUGCAUACAUAACUAAACAGGAAGUGUUUUAUGAAAAUAAUUAUAUUUAAAAUAGAAAUUAUUUAUGAAAAAAAAAAUGUUUAGGUAAUAUAUUCAGUUGUUUUGAUUUACAGACCAAGAUGAAGUACGUCCUGCUGAUUUACAGACCAAAAUAAAGUACAUCCUGCUGAUUUACAGACCAAAAUAAAGUACAUCCUGCUGAUUUACAGACCAAAAUAAAGUACAAUCUGCUGAUUUACAGACCAAAAUAAAGUACAAUCUGCUGAUUUACAGACCAAAAUAAAGUACAUUCUGAUGAUAUACAGACCGAAAUAAAGUAAAAUCUGCUGAUUAACAAACCAAAAUAAAGUACAUUCUGAUGAUUUACAGACACUUGUAUGGGCUGCUUGUAAUAAAAAAUGAUAGCCAA